AUGGGGAUGGCCUUCUGGAGAACCCAGUUGACAUCUCCACCCAUAUAUACUCCUUUUAUAACGAGUUGUUCUCGGCUGAUCCGCGUGGAGAUGUCUCCCUCUGCGCUGAUUUCACGCCGCUUGCAGACCAGGUCUCUGAUGCAGAGAAUGUGGAACUUACUCUCCCAUUCUCUCCUGAGGAGGUGGGUCAGGCGAUUGCUUCUAUGA
rnacentral:rRNA from 1 species